rnacentral:rRNA from 1 species
UACGUAGGGGGCUAGCGUUGUCCGGAAUCACUGGGCGUAAAGAGCGUGUAGGCGGCCCGGUAAGUCCGCUGUAAAAGUCAAAGGCUCAACCUUUGAAUGUCAGUGGAUACUGCCGGGCUAGAGUCCGGAAGAGGCGAGUGGAACUCCUGGUGUAGCGGUGGAAUGCGCAGAUAUCAGGAAGAACACCAACGGCGAAGGCAGCUCGCUGGGACGGUACUGACGCUGAGACGCGAAAGCGUGGGGAGCGAACAGG